GCGGGCGUAGCUCAAUGGUAGAGUGCUAGCCUUCCAAGCUAGCUAUGUGGGUUCGAUUCCCAUCGCCCGCUCCA
rnacentral:tRNA from 3 species